rnacentral:rRNA from 1 species
GAACCACCUGAUCCCUUGCCGAACUCAGAAGUGAAAC